rnacentral:rRNA from 1 species
UAGGCGUACGGGUGAGUAACACGUGGAUAAUCCACCUCUUAGUGGGGAAUAACUUUGGGAAACCGAAGCUAAUACCGCAUGAGCCUGAGAAGGGAAAGCAGCAAUGCGCUGAGAGAGGAGUCCGCGGCCGAUUAGCUAGUUGGUAGGGUAAAAGCCUACCAAGGCGAUGAUCGGUAGCCGGCCUGAGAGGGCACACGGCCACACUGGCACUGAAACACGGGCCAG